rnacentral:rRNA from 1 species
CUACCCAUGGCCAGUGUGAAGCAGCUGUAAGAGGUUGUGGAGGCGCGAACCCACUUAGGUUGAAAACUGAGGGGAUGAGUUGUGGGUAGGGGUGAAAGGCCAAUCAAACUCCGUGAUAGCUGGUUCUCCCCGAAAUGCAUUUAGGUGCAGCGUCGUGUGUUUCCUCCUGGAGGUAGAGCUACUGGUUGGUUUAGCGGGACUAUCAUCUUAGCGACAUCAGCCAAACUCCGAAUGCCAGGUUAGGUCAGAGCACGGCAGUGAGACUGCGGGGGAUAAGCUUCGUAGUCGAGAGGGAAACAGCCCAGAUCGCCGGCUAAGGCCCCUAAGGGUGUGCUAAGUGGAAAAGGAUGUGGGAUCGCGAAGACAACCAGGAGGUUGGCUUAGAAGCAGCCAUCCUUGAAAGAGUGCGUAAUAGCUCACUGGUCGAGUGGUUCUGCGCCGACAAUGUAGUGGGGCUCAAGUACACCGCCGAAGCCGCGGCAAUCACCAUUUUGUGGUGGUUGGGUAGGGGAGCGUCGCGUAUGUGCUGUGAAGCGCUGGGGUGACCCUAGUGUGGAGUGUGCGCGAGUGAGAAUGCAGGCAUGAGUAGCGAAUGAGGAGUGGAAAACUCCUCCGCCGAAUGACUAAGGGUUCCUGGGCCAGGUUAAUCCUCCCAGGGUGAGUCGGGACCUAAGGCGAGGCCGACAGGCGUAGUCGAUGGAUAACGGGUUGAUAUUCCCGUACCCGUGUGUCCGCGCCCAUGGUGAAUCAGGGAUACUAACCCACCUGAACACGCGCCUUGUGCCAGCCUUUUAGGUUGGUUGGUGUGUGUGAUGCUGGGGACCUGAACUGGUAGUAGCCAAGUGAUGGGGUGACGCAGGAAGGUAGCCGUGCCACGUGAUGGAUAUCGUGGUGUAAGCGUGUGGCCCGUGUUCUAGGUAAAUCCGGAGCACAUUCAAGGGUGAGGCGUGAUGCGUACCCGUUUUUGGGGAAGUUGGUGAUCCUAUGCUGCCGAGAAAAGCCUCUAGCGAUGUGGAUAUACGGCCCGUACCCGAAACCGACACAGGUAGUCAGGUAGAGAAUACUAAGGCGAUCGGGAUAACUGUGGUUAAGGAACUCGGCAAAAUGCCCCCGUAACUUCGGGAGAAGGGGGGCCAUGACUGGUGACCGACGUGGUUGAGCUGGUUGUGGCCGCAGAGAAUAGAGGGAAGCGACUGUUUACUAAAAACACAGGUCCGUGCGAAGACAUUUAAGUCGAGGUAUACGGACUGACGCCUGCCCGGUGCUGGAAGGUUAAGAGGACCUGUUAGAUCCCUUUGUGGGUCGAAGCGGAGAAUUUAAGCCCCAGUAAACGGCGGUGGUAACUAUAACCAUCCUAAGGUAGCGAAAUUCCUUGUCGGGUAAGUUCCGACCUGCACGAAUGGCGUAACGACUUCUCUGCUGUCUCAACCACAGGCCCGGUGAAAUUGCACUACGAGUAAAGAUGCUCGUUACGCGCGGCAGGACGAAAAGACCCCGGGACCUUCACUAUAGCUUGGUAUUGGUGUUCGGUUCGGUUUGUGUAGGAUAGGUGGGAGACUGUGAUGCCUCAACGCCAGUUGGGGUGGAGUCGUUGUUGAAAUACCACUCUGAUCGUAUUGGACAUCUCAACCUCGGCCCGUGAUCCGGGUUAGGGACAGUGCCUGGUGGGUAGUUUAACUGGGGCGGUUGCCUCCCAAAGAGUAACGGAGGCGCCCAAAGGUUCCCUCAGCCUGGUUGGCAAUCAGGUGUUGAGUGUAAGUGCACAAGGGAGCUUGACUGUGAGACUGACAGGUCGAGCAGGUAGGAAACUAGGGACUAGUGAUCCGGCACCGGCUUGUGGAAGCGGUGUCGCUCAACGGAUAAAAGGUACCCCGGGGAUAACAGGCUGAUCUUCCCCAAGAGUCCAUAUCGACGGGAUGGUUUGGCACCUCGAUGUCGGCUCGUCGCAUCCUGGGGCUGGAGUAGGUCCCAAGGGUUGGGCUGUUCGCCCAUUAAAGCGGCACGCGAGCUGGGUUUAGAACGUCGUGAGACAGUUCGGUCUCUAUCCGCCGCGCGCGUAGAAACUUGAGGAAGGCUGUCCCUAGUACGAGAGGACCGGGAUGGACGUACCUCUGGUGUGCCAGUUGUCCCGCCUGGGGCAUGGCUGGUUGGCUACGUACGGAAGGGAUAACCGCUGAAAGCAUCUAAGCGGGAAGCCUGUUCCAAGAUUAGGUUUCUUUUGAGGUCCCCUAUAGAUGAUGGGGUUGAUAGGCCGGAUCUGGAAGCAUCGUAAGGUGUGGAGGUGACCGGUACUAAUAGACCAAACAUUCAACACA